GGGACUCGGGGAUGACAGCCUGUUUGCUUAACACGCUUUUUAGAAGACAUGCUUGCAAGCUAUUAGUUAGCUUCCUUCUUCCCUCCCUGUCCCCACCACCCUAACCGCUCCUCACACUGUAAUUUGGCAGCGGCUGCUUGCAGGCCUGCUGUGCGCUUGGUCCCUGACUGACUCAGAUGCAGAUGGCAGCAGAGGCAGCCACAGGAAGUGGGAUGCAGCCUGUCACCUCUGAGACUGGCUUGUGCUUGUCAACCUCGCUGUGGACCCUGUGAGGCUACAGAUCAGGACUGACUGCAUCAGAAUGGCGGUUCAAAAUGGCUGAAUAACCUCCCUACCACAGUUGGGAAGACAAGAAAUUGUGCCCACGCAGCCAUCAAGCAGUCCAAUUAUAUUUUUUCACUUCAUUCCGCAAAAAUAAGAAAAAGAAAGAAAAAGAAAGAAAAAAAGCCAGCCAGCCUUGAGCUGUCUUGAAAACUCUUUGAAGUGUAGAUUUUGCGUUAAAGCUACAUCUUGUAGCUGUAGGAUGGGGCAGUGGGAAGAGAAAGGAGUGAGGAAGGGUACCAGAAGUUUGGCAAAAUGGGAUCAGGUGACCAUCUGUUUGACUGCAAGACACGAGAAAAAAGGCUAAGCCAUAAGAGUUAGUGACACAUGAGAGAAGAGGGGAGGAAUUGCCUGGAACAGCAACGUCCACAGGUCAUUUUCUCCAGAUCCCCAGGACAACAAGAAAGGAGUCAUAGACCUGGGUUCAAGCCCUGGCUAAGCCACUUACUUUUGACCGUGACCCUGAUGAAGCCAGUGACUCUCAAACUUGAGCACCAUCGGAAUCACCCUGGAGCGCUUGUUCAAACACAGAUUUCUGGUCUUACCUCCAGGGUCGCCGAUUCUGUGGGUCUGGACUGAGGCCUGAGAAUUUGCAUUGCUAAUAAUUUCUGGGUAAAAAGAAAAUAAUCAUGGGCUUAGGGUCUGCUGGGAUUUGAAGGAUCUUGUGAAUUCAACCCUCUCCCUCUGUAGAUGAGGAAACCGAGGCUCAGAAAACAAGAUGGCGACCGGCAGAAGUGGCUGGCAUGUGUUCUGGGCUGGCCCUCUAAAGAAGCUGAAGACUGGGCCCAACCUACAACAACCAACAAGAAUGCCAACAGAUCAGCGACCACGUGGGCAAGCUGCAGUGGUGCCUGACCCCCUACACAGACCUUCAGAGUCAAUUGCUGCUGCUUCCUGUCUGCUUUCCAAAUCUCAGACAAAUUACCUUGUGACCCACCCUAACUCAGGACGAGGCAGGGAAGGGAAUUCUGAGAAACGUAGUUCCAGCUUGGCUUAAUUUACCCUACGGAACCACCACACACGGUGACAAUUAUUUUACAGACAUUAUUUCAUUUGUCUUCAAAGCAACCUCCUAUGGCAAGAGCUCGAGUUUACAGGUGGGGAAACGAAGGUUUCAGAGGCUACAUAACUUGUCUAAGAUAUAAACUUGCUUAAUGUGCAAGGGGUUUUGAAGUCAGAUCUCUGUGACAUUAAACCUGUGUUCUCACCCCUGCAUGACAGUAUACACUGAUUUUUCUCUAAGUGUUCCUCUGUCUACUCUCAUGGAAACUGUCACUGGCAUAAGUAAAAGGCUUCACACAGACUGCUCUAGGCAUAUCAGACACCCCAGAUGCUUUUCUCACCUUUCCUCAUUCCCUAGACCAGAGCUUCCUCGCUGAGGAGCUGCCAUUAGAUCAUAGGCCUGCUGGGGAUAGGCCUGGGGCAGGCGGAGCCCCUGUGAAGGUCACCUCCAGCUCUUGGCAACCUCAUGGGUUUACCCCAGUGGGUGCCAUGACGUGAAGGCCGGGGAGCAUUAGUAUGGUCUCCCAGGACAUACCUCACCUCACAGGGGUGGAAUUUACCAUCCUCUGGGAAAUGAACCUAAGAGAACUUAUGUGCAGCCUGUUAGCGUGAGAGAUACUGGCUGGAGCCUGCGGAGGAGGAAGUCUUCACGUGACACUGUCAAACUCCCGGCAGGCAGACAGGUGUCUUGGUUUUGAUUUUCGUUUUAUAAACAU
ensembl:lncRNA